rnacentral:rRNA from 2 species
CUAACAAGGAUUCCCCUAGUAGCGGCGAGCGAAGUGGGACAAGCUCAAAUUUGAAAUCUGGCGCUUUCAGCGUCCGAGUUGUAAUCUCGAGAAGCGUUUUCCGUAUUAGCCUGCAUACAAGUCCGUUGGAAUACGGCGUCAUAGUGGUGAGAACCCCGUAGAUAAUGCAGAUUCCUAAUGCUCUGUGAUACGCUUUCGAAGAGUCGAGUUGUUUGGGAAUGCAGCUCAAAUUGGGUGGUAAAUUCCAUCUAAAGCUAAAUAUUGGCGAGAGACCGAUAGCGAACAAGUACCGUGAGGGAAAGAUGAAAAGCACUUUGGAAAGAGAGUUAACAGUACGUGAAAUUGUUGGAAGGGAAACGAUUGAAGUCAGACUUGCUAAUCGGAGUUCAGCCAUUAGGUGUACUCUCCGACUCGCAGGCCAGCAUCAGUUUUCGGGGGCGGAAAAUCAUUAGAGAAAGGUAGCAGCCUAGCUGUGUUAUAGUCUCUGGUUGGAUUCGCCUUUGGGGACUGAGGAACGCAGUGUGCUUUUAGCAAUUCCUUCGGGGAUUUCACACUAGGAUGCGAUGAUGGUGGA